rnacentral:rRNA from 1 species
GCUGGCGGCACGCCUUAUACAUGCAAGUCGAACGCAGUAGCAAUACUGAGUGGCAGACGGGUGAGUAUAAUGUGGGAAUCUGCCUUUUGGUUUGGAAUAACUCGGGGAAACCUGAGCUAAUACUGGAUAAGCCCUCACGGGGAAAGCUUUAUGCGCCAAAAGAUGAGCCCGCACUUGAUUAGCUUGUUGGUGAGGUAAAAGCUCACCAAGGCAACGAUCAAUAGCUGUUCUUAGAGGAAGACCAGCCACAUUGGGACUGAGACACGGCCCAGACUCCUACGGGAGGCAGCAGUAAGGAAUCUUGCACAAUGGGGGAAACCCUGAUGCAGCGAUGCCGCGUGAGUGAAGAAGGCCUUUGGGUUGUAAAACUCUUUCGUCGGGGAAGAAAAUGACUGUACCCGAAUAAGAAGGUCCGGCUAACUUCGUGCCAGCAGCCGCGGUAAUACGAAGGGACCUAGCGUAGUUCGGAAUUACUGGGCUUAAAGAGCUCGUAGGUGGUUAGAAAAGUUGGUGGUGAAAUCCCAAGGCUCAACCUUGGAACUGCCAUCAAAACUUUCUAGCUUGAGUGUGAUAGAGGAAAGUGGAAUUUCUAGUGUAGAGGUGAAAUUCGUAGAUAUUAGAAAGAACACCAAAUGCGAAGGCAACUUUCUGGAUCACUACUGACACUGAGGAGCGAAAGCAUGGGUAGCGAAGAGGAUUAGAUACCCUCGUAGUCCAUGCUGUAAACGAUGUGUGCUAGACGUUGGAAAUUUAUUUUUCAGUGUCGCAGCAAAAGCGUUAAGCACACCGCCUGGGGAGUAC